rnacentral:rRNA from 1 species
AACGAACGCUGGCGGCGCGCUUAACACAUGCAAGUCGAACGAGAAGGCGUAGCAAUACGCUUGUACAGUGGCGAACGGGUGAGUAAUACGUGGGCGACCUACCCUCGAGUGGGGAAUAACCCGCCGAAAGGCGGGCUAAUGCCGCGUACGCUUCCAUCUUUAUGGAGGUGGAAGGAAAGCCGUGCCGUGGGCACGGCGCUCAAGGAUGGGCUCACGUCCUAUCAGCUUGUUGGUAGGGAACGGCCUACCAAGGCUCCGACGGUAGCUGGUCUGAGAGGACGAUCAGCCACACUGGCACUGCGACACGGGCCAGACUCCGUACGGGAGGCAGCGGUGGGGAAUAUUGCGCAAGUGGGGGAAACCCUGACGCAGCGACGCCGCGUGGGUGAUGAAGGCCU